CCAAACGUUGGUCGAGGAGGUCAGCUCAGAUCCUCACAAACAAAUUCUCGAAGCUACUUACGGGUGAACUGACCAGUGGAAAGGAACCAAGCAAGACUAUACAGAAAGGGCUAUCUUCACACCAAGGAACGAAACGGUGGAUGAGAUCAAUGAAUACAUGAUAUCUGAAGCUGACAGUGUUUCAAAGGAAUAUCUCAGUUCCGAUAGCUUCGGUAUAAUAGACACCGACUCUGCGAACAACGAGACAUUGUACCCAGUAGAGUAUUCAAACUCACUGAGCUUUCGAGGCCUGCCUGCACAUAAGCUUACAUUGAAAGUGGGUGCCCCUUUCAUGCUCCUAAGGAAUUUAAAUCAAAAGAAGGGGUUAUGCAACGGAACACGUCUGAUUGUCACUUACCUAGGUGAGCGUGUUAUUAGAGGUGAAAUAGUUACAGGCUCCCAUAUUGGACAUAAAGUGGACCUUCCAAGAAUCAUACUAUCGGAAUCAGUAACUAAACAUCCGUUCACCCUAGAAAGGCGGCAAUUUCCGAUCAGGCUAUGUUACGCAAUGACAAUUAACAAAAGUCAGGGUCAGAGUUUGAAAGGUGUCGUACUGUAUUUGCCACAGCCCGUUUUCACCCAUGGGCAGCUCUAUGUUGGUCUUUCCCGAGUUACUACCAAGUCAGGCCUCAAAAUUAUACAAGGAAAGGAUCAAAAGAUAGGAAGGGUCAAAAACAUUGUCUACAAAGAAAUAUACAACGGUUUACCAGGUAAUCAAAUAUUAUUUGCAACCCAAUUCACAACAUUAUCCAAAAAUACUCAACUCCUUUCUCUCUCUCCUCCAGAAUCACGAUCCGAUGAUCACCCAGAGCAGGCUACCCGGAAUCUUCAACAACUUUCUAUACCAUAAGAUGCAAUCUACCAGUCCGCCCGCAAUAGAAAGUGGCAGCUCUACAAGACCAUUCACAAUAAACCUACCAGCCAUCGUCUACGUCUUAUCUUAUUUUAUUUCUUUUUCGUUACCUACCAAAUACUAUUUCCUUCGAACAAUUACUUAUUUCAACUGUCCAACUAUUUUCUUUUGCAUUUUCUAUUAUUUCAGACAAUUUUUUAUUUCAACUGUUUUCUAUAACAAUGUGCGAACGCCAAAGUUCCCUUUAAUCUUAAAAUAGUUCGACCAAGAUAACAAACCCCCCUCAUUUCACACACAGCCCCUGUAAAUUUCCUUAAAAAAAAACAAAAUUCUACUAUCAAACUCAGCCAACAAAUUUACUACUACCAGCUUUAAUUAUGGCCCGGCCUACUUAAACUUUUAAAAAAACCAUGUCAAUACUUAAAAAAAAAAA